rnacentral:rRNA from 1 species
CCUACGGGCGGCAGCAGUGGGGAAUAUUGCACAAUGGGGGAAACCCUGAUGCAGCGACGCCGCGUGAGCGAAGAAGGCUUUCGGUAUGUAAAGCUCUAUCAGCAGGGAAGAAAAUGACGGUACCUGACUAAGAAGCCCCGGCUAACUACGUGCCAGCAGCCGCGGUAAUACGUAGGGGGCAAGCGUUAUCCGGAUUUACUGGGCGUAAAGGGAGCGUCUGUGGCGUGGUAUGCCAGAGGUGAAAACCCGGGGCGCAACCCCGCGGAAUGCUUUUGGAACUAUCAGGUUGGAGUGCUGGAGGGGAAAGCGGAAUUCCUAGCGUAGCGGUGAAAUGCGUAGAUAUUAGGAGGAACACCAGUGGCGAAGGCGGCUUACUGGACAGAAACUGACACUGAGGCUCGAAAGCGUGGGGAGCAAACAGGAUUAGAUACCCCAGUAGUC